GACGAACGCUGGCGGCGUGCCUAAUACAUGCAAGUAGAACGCACAGUUUAUACCGUAGCUUGCUACACCAUAGACUGUGAGUUGCGAACGGGUGAGUAACGCGUAGGUAACCUGCCUGGUAGCGGGGGAUAACUAUUGGAAACGAUAGCUAAUACCGCAUAAUAUUGAUUAUUGCAUGAUAAUUGAUUGAAAGAUGCUAUUGCAUCACUACCAGAUGGACCUGCGUUGUAUUAGCUAGUAGGUGAGGUAACGGCUCACCUAGGCGACGAUACAUAGCCGACCUGAGAGGGAGAUCGGCCACACUGGGACUGAGACACGGCCCAGACUCCUACGGGAGGCAGCAGUAGGGAAUCUUCGGCAAUGGACGAAAGUCUGACCGAGCAACGCCGCGUGAGUGAAGAAGGUUUUCGGAUCGUAAAGCUCUGUUGUAAGAGAAGAACGGGGGUGAGAGUGGAAAGUUCACACUGUGACGGUAGCUUACCAGAAAGGGACGGCUAACUACGUG
rnacentral:rRNA from 1 species